rnacentral:rRNA from 1 species
AGAGAGAGACAUGCGCGCAUAUCAAUAAGCGGAGGAAAAGAAACUAACAAGGAUUCCCUUAGUAACGGCGAGUGAAGCGGGAAGAGCUCAAAUUUGAAAUCUUCAAGGUUCUACCUUGACGAAUUGUAGUUUAAAGAAGUGUUUUCUGCUUGAAGUUUUGGUAAAAGUUCUUUGGAAUAGGACAUCAUAGAGGGUGAGAAUCCCGUAUUUGACCAUUAUUUUCAGCUUUGUGAUACACUUUCAAAGAGUCGGAUUGUUUGGGAAUGCAGUCCAAAAUGGGUGGUAAAUCUCAUCUAAAGCUAAAUAUUGGCGAGAGACCGAUAGCGAACAAGUACCGUGAGGGAAAGAUGAAAAGAACUUUGAAAAGAGAGUUAAACAGCUACGUGAAAUUGUCAAAAGGGAAGCGUUUGACACCAGUGUUGUUUUCUCGAAAAUCAAUUAAAAAUGGCUCGAUUUUGUAUUGCUUGAGACCUUAAAAGCUCACUGUACAUUUUUCGUGUCUUUUUUAAUGCACCUUUCGUUUAACAAGUCAACAUCAGCUUCUUUUGUUGUAAAAGGGUCAUUGGAAGGUGGCUUUCUUUUCGGAGAAAGUGUUUAUAGCCUUUGGCCUCUGCAAUCGAAGAGACUGAGGUCUGCAGCGUAGACUCUUCGGGGUUAGAUACAUUUGUGCUAAGUUAUAGCUUUUUAUAGACAACUUGUUGACUAUAAUUAGUCUUGUAGCUUACUCGCUUAUGCUAUUUUACCUACGCUUAGGAUGUUGAGUCGUAGAGCACGCAG